UUUUAAAAUAAAUCAUUUCAAUCAAAUUAUCUAUAGCAAUUUAUACAUGUAAAUCUUCAAUGCUGGAUAAGAAAAAGAAUAGUGUAAUAUAUAUUUUGCUAUAUAACAAUGAAGUAAAUAUUGAAGACGAGAUGGAAUGAAUGGCAUAAAGAUAAUGUAAGAGGUAAAUAAGUACAUUGAUUAGAUAAUAAAUAAACACCUUCCAAAAGUUACAAAUAUGGUACCUAUAUUUUAUUGCUUCAAAUUACUUUAUGCCUUAACGAGAAUGCUGCCUAUUAGAGUAUCAAAUAGCUAAUCAGAAUAGAGUGUGAAAGUUGCUUAUAGUUACCAAAUAAGCAAUCUCAGAUCCUCAUUAUUGGGAUGAAAGAUAGAAAUAGUGCAGAAAAGAGUUAUUUUUAGCAGUUUAGCCUCUACUUGAGGAUUUUACUAGUAAAUAUAUAUUGUUGUUGAUGACGGAAGGACACUCUCAAUUACAUUAUUGCAAGGAAAAUUUUGAUGCAUAAAAUAAAAAGGUCAUCACAUUAAUUCAGUGAGGCUCUGAUUUGUGUUGAAAUCUUGAAUGUAGAUGGUCAGCGCUGUCAAGGUGGAUAAACUGUUCAAAAUAUGAGAUUACUGGCCUUGCUUUCUCAUCGAUUGACUCCAAUUAUAUCUAUAUACAAGGGGUUGAUUAUGAGGCCUUCUGUGGACAAUGGGUUGAAAACAGAAAGGUAUUUUCGUUUAGAGGAGACUCAAAUUGGCUUGGGUUCAGUAAGUGCUCCGGCAAGGAUAUAUUAGGUGGAUGGUGUGAUUCCGGUAGCAUCUUCAUUGCUGAUGUCACACUUAAAGACAACGAAACAGGCAUCUUGAAAGGUUUUGAUAAUUGAUCUGCCUUGUGCACCCUCAGCUUCUUGCUCUUAUGAUUACUUGACACAGAACUGGAAAACUUGAAGCAAGGAUCUCAGAAAUCUCAUCAUUACCCCCCUAAAGUCCCAGUUGAGGCUGUAUCUUUACACCUUUCAUUUUAUCUUUUCUCCACCUAUAUGCCGUGGAAUACAAAUGGUAGUUAUACAAAAAGAUCAAAUUUUGAACUGUUUAGGGUUGGAAUUUUAUAGAAUGAUUCCGAACUUUCAUCCUCUAUCUCUCUCUCUCUCUCUCUACUUUUUUUAAUUUAUUUCCUUCCCUCUUAGUACAAUAAUUGUAAUAGUAUAAUAAAGUAAAGAUGACUUGGUGUUCAAGUAAAUGACCAUGGAAAAGUUAUGAGAUUGA